ACUUUUUGGAGCCAUACCUAGUUUUCCAUACUUUUGCACUUUUUCUAGAUAUUUUUACAGCAUUGUUCUUAGAAGCAUGGAGCAGGAUGUUCUAAGACAUGGUAUGUAUUUACUCUUGCAUGAGGACUAUAUGAUGGAAAUCAUCAGUUCAAUCAAUAUUAAUUAUGUCUAAAACUGAAGCGAAAUACAUGUUAGCAUCUGAAGAUGUAAAGGAAGCAUUAUGACUUACAGAGUUUAUGAAAGAGUUAGGUAUUGAACAAGGUGGAGUUCAAUUGCAUUGUGAUAGUCAAAGUGAUUUCUAUUUGGUAAACAUUCAAGUGUAUCAUGCUAGGAACAAACAUAUUGAUGUGAGGUUCCAUAAGAUCAGGGAGUUGGUGGUGUCUUGACAAAUAUUACUGCAGAAGGUUAUCACGUCAGAGAAUGCAGCGGAUAUGUUGACCAAGCCAGACACAAGUGACAAGUUCAAACAUCGUUUGAACUUGUUACAUGUUUCUCAGUAUUAAGUAGGAACUACACACACCCAAUUUCCAAGAUAUGACAUUAUGCAAUUAAUCUUCAUAUGAGUUUGAUAUUCGCGAAAGUGUAGAUUAUUGAGUUUGGAUCAUAGGCAAUGUUAAAUUGACUUUGAUAACAAAUUUUAGCCCAAUUGUUUGUUAGGGGCGACUGAGGUGUGGGAGUGCAGGGGGCGAAGCUCCCCUGGAUACGAUUUAAGGAUACUAUUUUAAUUUGGAUCACUAGUAUCCACUGGAACCCUAUUAGUGUGUAAUUCAUAGAAACCAAUAAAACGAAAUUAUUGUGACCAAAUCUUUUGUGUGUUUCUCUCUACUUUAAUCUAUAUUCACAUAAUUUAUCUAACAACUUUCAAUAUCUUAUAUAACUCAUAAUCUUUAAUUCUUAAUAAGGAGAGAGAAGCUUAAAGUACAUCAACACAUCAAACAUGAGAUAGAAACUUUGCCCUCUCUCUAGUUUUUCCUGUCUAAAUUAGGGCUUCUUACAAACCUUAAGGUUAAUUUCCUUUUCUUCAAUUUUCUAUCCAUUUUCUGGGUUUCGAGAGUUUCAAUUUUCGUUCAUAAUUAUGGAGUGGCAUAAGGUUCGCAAGAAAGAAGGAGGUAGAUGGUACUUCAACGUGAAAUAUGACAUCCAUACUUGAAGGGAAAGAGUGAAGGGAGUGCAAGAUAAUCACAUUACAUCCAUUUACUUUUCGGAAUUUUCUGAAAAGUGCAGGGCGUCAGACAUAUUUCAGCUGUUCAGAAACAAUAUUGGAGAUUUAGUCGAAGUUUUCAUUCAUUCAAAGAGAAACAAUAUUGGAGAUUUUUAGACGUUGAGGAUGCAAGGAUUUUACCUGUCUGUUUGGAUAAUCUAUUUAUCAAUUACAAGAAAAUUCACGCCAAUGUUCAAAGGUUUAUAAGGAAGAAAGAAGGUCACAAGGCACCAAACGAUAACAUCAUGAAUAUAGUAUCGCUAAACAUAAGAGGAGGUGGAAACAAAGCAAAGCAUAGAAGAAUAUACCAAUUUUUAAUCACAUGUAAAGUUGAUUUCUUACAGAAUCUAAACUUUCAACAGUAGAUGAUUCUGUAGAAAGUAGUUUCUGGAUUAUCAUGUAAUUGUUUUGGAUAUAAUUUAAAAUUAUAAUGUAAAUCUCUUACCACUCACUCAACUUCUAAUGGCGACAAUAACAUUGAAAAUAAAUGCAUUUUGUUACAUGAGAGUUGCGACAAUAAUUGCGUGGACAAUCAGAAUCCUGCUCACAAACUGCUCUCAUUAAUGCUGUUGUACAAAAACAAAACGACAUAGUUAAUAUAAAAAUGGUGAAAGAUAUUGUAAAAAGAUAAACAAUCAAGUCCAAAGGAUAUGAAAAUGGUUUACCAGUAACGUUAAUUAUAAUAAGAAAUAUGUAAACAAAGAGGAUCAUUAGAUAAACAAAUUUUAGUGUUUCCACCAUAUUCUUUUCCUAAUUUGGCAACAGGUAGAAAUUUGGUUUAUUUGUGUCUAUUAAGAAAAUUGCAGUCAUAGGUAAUUGAUUUUUAUCGUUUGACCUUUUAGCUCUCUCAAUGGGUGAGGACAGUAUUCCGUUACUUUUGUUUCAUUUUUUUACCCUUUUAUG
rnacentral:lncRNA from 1 species